GGGGGGUGCAGUGCUGUUGACCGGGGUAGGGGUAGCCAGGUGGAAAGCAUGGCCAGCCGUAGAAAAAUGCUUAUUGAAAUUCUCAAUUAUAGUGGAUUUAUCGGUGGUGACAGUGUUUCCUAUCUUCAGUGCAGUGGUCAGCUGGGAGGAGGUGUUCUUAUUCUCCAUGGACUUUACAGUGUCACGGAACUUUUUUGAGUUAGUGUUGCAGGAAGCAAAUUUCUGCUUGGAUAAGCUAGCCUUGGCUUUUCUAACUGCCUGUGUAUAAUGGUUUCUAGCUUCCCUGAAAAGCUGCAUAUCACAGGGGCUGUUCGAUGCUAAUGCAGAACGCCAUAGGAUGUUUUAGUGUUGGUUAAGGGCAGUUAGGUCUGGGGAGAACCAAGGGCUAUAUCUGUUCCUGGUUCUAAAUUUCUUGAAUGGAGCAUGCUUAAUUAAGAUGGUUAGGAAGGCAUUCAAAAAAAAUAACCAGGCAUCCUCUACUGACGGGAUGAGAUCAAUAUCCUUCCAGGAUACCCCGGCCAGGUUGAUUAGAAAGGCCUGCUCGCUGAAGUGUUUCAGGGAGCAUUUGACAGUAAUGAGUGGAGGUCGUUUGACCGCUGACCCAUUACGGAUGCAGGCAAUGAGGCAGCGAUCGCUGAGAUCUUGGUUGAAGACAGCAGAGGUGUAUUUAGAGGGCAAGUUGGUUAGGAUGAUAUCUAUGAGGGUGUCCAUGUUUACGGCUUUGGGGAGGUAGCUGGUAGGUUCAUUGAUAAUUUGUGUGAGAUUGAGGGCAUCAAGCUUAGAUUGUAGGAUGGCUGGGUUGUGAAGCAUGUUCCAGUUUAGGUCGCCUAGCAGCACGAGCUCUGAAGAUAAAUGGGAGGCAAUCAGUUCACAUAUGGUGUCCAGAGCACAGCUGGGGGCGAGUGGUUUAUAGCAGGCGGCAACAGUGAGAGACUUGUUUUUAGAAAGGUGGAUUUUUAAAAGAAGUUCAAAUUGUUUGGGUCCAGACGUGGAUAUUAGGACAGAACUUGGCUGUUCUAUCUUGUCUGAAAAUGUUGUAGUUAGGGAUGAAAAUUUCUGAAUUUUUGGUGGUCUUCCUAAGCCAGGAUUCAGACACAGCUAGAACAUCCGGGUUGGCAGAGUGUGCUAAAGCAGUGAAUAACACAAACUUAGGGAGGAGGCUUCUAAUGUUAACAUGCAUGAAACCAAGGCUAUUACGGUUACAGAAGUCAUCAAAAGAGAGCGCUUGGGGAAUAGGAGUGGAGCUAGGCACUGCAGGGCCUGGAUUCUCCUCUACAUCACCAGAGGAAAAGAGGAGAAGUAGGAUAAGGGUACGGCUAAAAGCAAUGAGAAUUGGUCGUCUAGAACGUCUGGAACAGAGAGUAAAAGGAGGUUUCUGGGGGCGAUAAAAUAGCUUCAAGGUAUAAUGUACAGACAAAGGUAUGGUAGGAUGUGAAUACAGUGGAGGUAAACCUAGGUAUUGAGUGAUGAUGAGAGAGAUAUUGUCUCUAGAAACAUCAUUGGAACCAGGAGAUGUCAUCGCAUGUGUGGGUGGUGGAACUAAUAGGUUGGAUAAGGUAUAGUGAGCAGGACUAGAGGCUCUACAGUGAAAUAAGCCAAUAAACACUAACCAGAACAGCAAUGGACAAGGCAUAUUGACAUUAAGGAGAGGCAUGCUUAGUCGAGUGAUCAAAAGGGUCUAGUGAGUUGUGAGGUUGGUUGGGGUCUAGGCGAUUCAGACAGCUAGCUGGGCCAUCGGUAGAAAGCUAGCAUAGGAUGGAGGUCUGUUUUUAGCCACCUCGUGCGUUUCCGUCGGUAGGAUUAGUGGGGUUCCGUGUGGUAGAGGGGAUCAAUCCAAUUCGCAAAAAAAAAAAAAAUUUAGUUAUAGAGGCCCAAGAAGAAAAAAAUAUUUUAAAAAAUGUAAAAAAUGUUUGAGCAUGGUGUGUUUAUUCAAGUUACGCCGUUUUUUUCUCCAUCAACAAGGGUUACGAUUUCGAAUGUACCACCGUUUAUUCCCAAUGAGCUAUUGGAGCACAAGUUAUUGUGGUUUGGCCCAGCUCUGAAACAGGUGAUGUUGUUUCGGCGACAGGUGUUUAUGUUUUUGAGCUCACCGGAGCAGACUUUGGAGUUAUCCUUUAAUGUCAAGUAUGACAACAGACUGUAUAUGGCUAGUACAGGAAUAUGCUAGUACAGGAAGUAUAUAUAUAUAUGCUAGUACAGGAAGUCAACAGUGUUUUGAGUGUGGGGAUGUUGGACAUAAGCCAUAAGGGUUCAGGUGGAGCUAGGCUCCCAGGUAGUGGAGGAGAUGUCCAUUUUGAGUAAUGGGGUUCAGGUGGAGCUAGUCUCCCAGGUAGUGGAGGAGAUGUCCAUUAUGAGUAAUGGGGUACAGGAGGGUUACAGGAGGGGGUUCAGGUGGAGCUAGUCUCCCAGGUCGUGGAGGAGAUGUCCACUAUGAGUAAUGGGGUACAGGAGAGGGUUCAGGUGGAGCUAG
ensembl:lncRNA